rnacentral:rRNA from 1 species
AUGGACAAGAAGCAGGGCUUCUUCUCGGCGCUGCGGGAGGAGGUGGCCCGUGGGCUGUCGCCGGCGCGGGCGCGGCGGAGGGCCGAGGAGGUGGCGGCGGCGAAGGCGGCACUGCGGUACGCGGGGGGCGGCGGCGGGGAGGCGCUCGCGCCGCUCAUGGAGGGCCCGGAUCCGGAGGAGGCCGCCGGCGGCGACGGCGCCGGCCGCGCGCGCAGGGACGGGUGGGGGCGCUGGGUGCGCGGCCAGCUCGCGCGCGCGCCGUCGUCCGGGCCGGUGGCCUCCGCCGGCGGCGCCAGCGCGGCGAGGCGGAAUGACCUGAGGAUGCUGCUCGGGGUCAUGGGCGCGGCGCUCGCGCCCGUGCAUGUCUGCGCGGCCGAGCCGCUCCCGCACCUCAGCAUCAAGGACACCCCCAUUGAGACUUCGUCGGCGCAGUACAUUCUGCAGCAGUAUCUGGCUGCCUCCGGCGGGCAGAAGCUCCUCUCUUCAGUCCGCAACUCGUAUGCCAUGGGGAAGAUGGCUCCGGAGAUGUGGUACAUUGAGCUGGCUGUUGGUGGGAGCAAGGUGCACGCCGGAUGCAACGGCAAGCUCGUCUGGCGCCACACCCCAUGGCUUGGUGCACAUUCUGCCAAGGGACCUGUCCGCCCUCUCCGCCGCUCGCUUCAGGGCCUGGAUCCUUUGACCACAGCGAGCAUGUUUGCUGGUGCACGCUGCAUUGGAGAGAGGAAGGUGAAUGGGGACGAUUGCUUCAUUCUGAAGCUGUGUGCUGAUCCUGAGACGCUAAGAGCACGCAGCGAGGGGCUCGCGGAGAUCAUCCGGCAUGUCCUCUUUGGGUACUUCAGCCAGAAGAGCGGGCUUCUUGUCCACCUCGAAGAUUCUCAUCUCACUCGAAUUCAGUCCACAACCGGAGGUGAUGCGGUUUACUGGGAGACUACCAUCAAUUCAUUCAUCGAGGACUACCGGCCGGUGGAGGGGAUAAUGAUUGCUCAUUCUGGGCGCUCGGCCGUGACCCUUUUCCGUUUCGGAGAGGUGGCCAUGAGCCACACCAAGACUCGCAUGGAGGAGGCAUGGAGCAUCGAGGAGGUCGCGUUCAAUGUUCCCGGUCUCUCCAUGGACUGCUUCAUCCCACCCACUGAUAUCAAGUCUGGGUCCAUCAGUGAGACUGUUGAGCUUCCGCAGAGUGGGAAGAGCAAGGCCGGCGGUCUUCUCCCAUGCCAUGGUGCCAAGGUUGCUGCUCUAGAGAAGGCCGAUGAUAAUGUUGCGUGGAGCGGAGCCCUGCAGCGAGAUUGCAAGUGA